rnacentral:rRNA from 1 species
ACGAAGGGGGCAAGCGUUGUUCGGAAUUACUGGGCGUAAAGGGCGCGUAGGCGGAUAUUCAAGUCAGAGGUGAAAGCCCUGGGCUCAACCCGGGAACUGCCUUUGAAACUGGAUGUCUUGAGUAUGGGAGAGGGUGGCGGAAUACCCAGUGUAGAGGUGAAAUUCGUAGAUAUUGGGUAGAACACCAGUGGCGAAGGCGGUCACCUGGCCCAUAACUGACGCUGAGGCGCGAAAGCGUGGGGAGCAAACAGG